rnacentral:rRNA from 1 species
GACAGAGGGUGCAAACGUUGUUCGGAAUUACUGGGCGUAAAGCGCGUGUAGGUGGCGAGGCAAGUCGGGUGUGAAAGCCCUGGGCUCAACCCAGGAAGUGCACUCGAUACUGCCUAGCUAGAGUCCCGGAGAGGUUGGUGGAACUCUCGGUGUAGAGGUGAAAUUCGUAGAUAUCGAGAAGAACACCGGUGGCGAAGGCGGCCAACUGGACGAUGACUGACACUGAGACGCGAAAGCGUGGGGAGCAAACAGG